rnacentral:rRNA from 1 species
GAUGAACGCUGACAGAAUGCUUAACACAUGCAAGUCUACCUGAACUUCGGUUUGGGUGGCGGACGGGUGAGUAACGCGUAAAGAACUUGCCUCACAGUUAGGGACAACAUUUGGAAACGAAUGCUAAUACCUGAUAUUAUGAUUUUAGGGCAUCCUAGGAUUAUGAAAGCUAUAUGUGCUGUGAGAGAGCUUUGCGUCCCAUUAGCUAGUUGGAGAGGUAACGGCUCACCAAGGCGAUGAUGGGUAGCCGGCCUGAGAGGGUGAACGGCCACAAGGGGACUGAGACACGGCCCUUACUCCUACGGGGGGCAGCAGUGGGGAAUAUUGGACAAUGGACCAAGAGUCUGAUCCAGCAAUUCUGUGUGCACGAUGACGUUUUUCGGAAUGUAAAGUGCUUUCAGUUGAGAAGAAAAAAAUGACGGUACCAACAGAAGAAGUGACGGCUAAAUACGUG